CGGACGGGUGAGUAACACGUGGAUAACCUACCUAUAAGACUGGGAUAACUUCGGGAAACCGGAGCUAAUACCGGAUAAUAUAUUGAACCGCAUGGUUCAAUAGUGAAAGACGGUUUUGCUGUCACUUAUAGAUGGAUCCGCGCCGCAUUAGCUAGUUGGUAAGGUAACGGCUUACAAGGCAACGAUGCGUAGCCGACCUGAGAGGGUGAUCGGCCACACUGGAACUGAGACACGGUCCAGACUCCUACGGGAGGCAGCAGCG
rnacentral:rRNA from 1 species